rnacentral:rRNA from 1 species
AACGUAGGUCCCGAGCGUUAUCCGGAUUUACUGGGCGUAAAGCGUGUUCAGGCGGCGGCGUUAGUCGGGCAUGAAAUCUCUCGGCUCAACCGGGAGGGGCUGUCCGAUACUGCGCGGCUGGAGGGCAGUAGAGGGUGGUGGAAUUCCGGGUGUAGUGGUGAAAUGCGUAGAGAUCCGGAGGAACACCAGUGGCGAAGGCGGCCACCUGGACUGCACCUGACGCUCAAACACGAAAGCUCGGGGAGCGAACGGG